rnacentral:sRNA from 1 species
AGCAGCCGCGGUAAUUCCAGCUCCAGUAGCGUAUAUUAAAGUUGUUGCAGUUAAAAAGCUCGUAGUUGAAUUUCGGGAUCAGUAUGUUGGUCGUGCUUCGGUACGUACUGUCAUUACUGGUUUCUACCUUCUGAAGAACCAUGAUGUCAUUAAUUUGGUGUCUUGGGGAAUCAGGACUGUUACUUUGAAAAAAUUAGAGUGUUUAAAGCAGGCUCGCGCUUGAAUACAUUAGCAUGGAAUAAUGAAAUAGGACGUUUGAUUCUAUUUUGUUGGUUUCUAGGAUCGACGUAAUGAUUAAUAGGGAUAGUUGGGGGCAUUAGUAUUCAAUUGUCAGAGGUGAAAUUCUUGGAUUUAUUGAAGACUAACUACUGCGAAAGCAUUUGCCAAGGAUGUUUUCAUUAAUCAAGAACGAAAGUUAGGGGAUCGAAGACGAUCAGAUACCGUCGUAGUCUUAACCAUAAACUAUGCCGACUAGGGAUCGGAUGAUGUUAUUUUAAUGA